UUGGGAAGACUGCUGUGGACGUGUUGCUGUCACAGGGAGUGUUAGCUGUAUCACACAGCUCGAAACACGUCAAACUUUACAGUUUUGAGUACAUUGUUAAUAAGUUUAGAAUUGAGGAGUUGGCUCUGGGACAGCAGUGUGAGAUGAAAGGAAUUGUGGGAGAAGCUCCUUAUGGCAUUCCGGUCAACAUUCACAUUCAUGAGUGUCCUCCCGUAUUGUUUGAGAUGUCAUACUUUGAGAAUGGGGUUCAGAUCGGAGGUCAUCCCUGGCACUACAUCUACACCCCCAACCACAAGAGGCACAGAGGAACCCAUCACAUCUGCUCUAUCACAGACGGAGCACUGGUGAAUACUCUCGUUCCUACAGAUAUUCUCAGGAAAAUCAGUCCUGAAAAAAAAAAACAAAAAAGCCAAGCUGCGAUAUAUUUAGACAUGCACUGAGGUUAAAGUGUGUAUGUUACCUACAUGUUGCAUUUUAGUUAAAAUUAUUAUCAUAUUAUUAUCUCUUAG